AGGAUUACCGAUCUCAAGUUUUCGGGUUGAUUAAGUCGUUGAAGUAUUUGGAUAAGAUGGAUGCGGAGGAAAAUGAGAGACCUGAGUCGGAUGAUGAGGAGGAGGAUGAAGAGGACGACGAGGAUGAUCCUGGAAGUGGAGAAGUCGAUGGCGAGGAUAGGCCGUUUAGUUUGAAUAACGGGCAUACAGGUGGGAGUGAAGGGAUUGUUGAUGUGGAUGAGGAUGAGGAGAGUGAUGCCGAUGAGGAGGAGACGGAGACUUCCAGAGGGGCUAAUGGGGUCAGCCGAGCUUUUCACCAUCAGGCAAAUGGGUUUCGGGUUGAGGGGGUGGAUGGGGAGGACGAUGAGGAUGAUGAUGGAGAGGGGGAGGACGAGGAGGACAACGAUUCUGUGGAGGAGAUUGAUGAAGAGGAGGGCGAUGACGAGGAUGUUGUUGAGGUUCAUGAGAUUGAGGAUAGUGAUGACGAGGAAGAUGGGGUGGACGAUGAUGAUGAUGAUGAGGACGAUGAUGAAGAGGAGGACGAGGAAGAGGUGGAUAAUGAUGAGGG
rnacentral:lncRNA from 1 species